UAUCUCUGUAGAGUCUGCAUAUCAAUAAGCGGAGGAAAAGCUGGGUACUCCCGCUCAUAUUUAUUACAAAUUUGAAGGCAACAACACUUCCGGAAGCCACAAGCUCAAUUCUGCUAUUGCUCAGGCAUAUUAUGCAAAGAUGCAGGGCUUAAAGGGCGUUACCACCGAGACCGGUGCAGGCCAGUGGGGUACUGCGCUGUCCAUGGCUUGUUCCUAUCUGGAUCUGGAUUGUCAGGUAUAUAUGGUUAAGUGCUCCUACGAGCAGAAGCCUUUCCGCCGCGAGGUAAUGCGUACUUACGGUGCAAAGGUGACACCUUCCCCUUCCAUGCUGACCAAUGUGGGCCGCAAGAUCAACGAGGAAUUCCCCGGUACCACCGGAAGCCUUGGUUGUGCCAUUUCUGAGGCAGUAGAAGCUGCUACCAGCCAGGAAGGUUACCGUUAUGUGCUGGGCUCCGUGCUCUCCCAGGUAAUGCUGCAUCAGUCCAUCAUCGGUCUGGAGGCUAAGGCUGCUCUGGACAAAUACGGUAUUAAGGCGGAUAUGGUAAUCGGCUGCGCAGGCGGUGGUUCCAAUCUGGGCGGUCUGAUCUCUCCUUUUGCAGGUGAGAUGCUGCGCGGUGAGGCUGACUACAAGCUGAUCGCUGUAGAACCCAAGUCCUGUCCCAGCAUGACCAGAGGUACCUACGCUUAGGAUGUUGAAGACUCUACAGAGAUA
rnacentral:rRNA from 1 species